rnacentral:misc_RNA from 1 species
ACCUUUCAAAUCAGGGUGCGGCGCGGCCCCCGAGGAGCGGAAACAAUCCUUGGGAGGUAUGCGGGGGGCUUCGAGCCCCCCAUUUACGCACGCACGACUGCCCAUCCUUACUUUACGAGCACCUUCUGUUCUACCCUCGGCGGGGCAACCUGCCGUUGGAACCGAAUAAACUCUUUUUGGCAUCUAGCAUUACCCGUUCCGAAACAAACAAUCGUUA